rnacentral:rRNA from 1 species
UACGAAGGGGGCUAGCGUUGUUCGGAAUUACUGGGCGUAAAGCGCGCGCAGGCGGCUAUCCAAGUCAGUGGUGAAAGCCCGGAGCUCAACUCCGGAACUGCCAUUGAAACUGUUUAGCUUGAGGAUGAGAGAGGUGAGUGGAAUUCCCAGUGUAGAGGUGAAAUUCGUAGAUAUUGGGAAGAACACCGGUGGCGAAGGCGGCUCACUGGCGCAUUACUGACGCUCAGGCGCGAUAGCGUGGGGAUCAAACAGG